UGCCAGCCGCCGCGGUAAUACGGAGGGUGCAAGCGUUAAUCGGAAUUACUGGGCGUAAAGAGUACGUAGGCGGCUUUUCAAGUCGGGUGUGAAAUCCCUGAGCUUAACCCAGGAACUGCAUUCGAUACUGGAUCGCUAGAGUAUAUUAGAGGAUAGUGGAACUUCAAGUGUAGCGGUGAAAUGCGUAGAUAUUUGAAGGAACACCAAUGGCGAAGGCAGCUAUCUGGAAUAAUACUGACGCUGAGGAGCGAAAGCUAGGGGAGCAAACAGGAUUAGAUA
rnacentral:rRNA from 1 species